ACCCGCUGAACUUAAGCAUAUCAGUAAGCGGAGGAAAAGAAACUAACUAGGAUUCCCCGAGUAGCGGCGAGCGAAAGGGGAGAAGCCCAGCGCCGAAGCCCGCGGCCUCCGGUCGCAGUGCAAUGUGGCGUUUCGGCUGCGGCUCGCCGCGACUUCUCUGGCACGCGUACCUCUGAACGGGUCUGCCCGCAGCGGGUGUCAGGCCUCUACUUGCCGAGAGUCGUCGUGGCCCGCCGUAGCCGCGGAGUCGGGUUGCUUGAGAGUGCAGCCCAAAGUGGGUGGUAAGCUCCAUCUAAGGCUAAAUACCUAGUGCGAGACCGAUAGCAAACAAGUACCGUGAGGGAAAGUUGCAAAGAACUUUGAAAAGAGAGUUCAAGAGUACGUGAAACCGUUCAGAGGCAAACUGACGGAACCGAGCGAGUUCGCCGCGGCCAUUCAGCCGUCGCCCCGCGCGGGCGGCGGUGCACUUGGCCGCGGCGGAGCACGGCGACCGCCUGCCGGCGUCGUCAUAAGCCCGGCGGCAAGGUGACGAAGCGCCCGUCGCUUCGUGUUACAGGCCGCCGAGGCGUCGACAGACCCGGCGGGCGAGGAGCGCCUGCCGCGCCCUCCCGCCUCGCGCGGGAGCCGUCCGACCCGGUGGGCUCGCGGCGUCCGGCGUCGAACUGCUCGCAGUUCGGCGUCGCGUUCGUCGCUUGUCGCGCCGGGCGGUGCGGCGGGGGCGCGCAGCGUCACGGCUGUGUGUUAUCGGAACUCUGUCAGACCCGUCUUGAAACACGGACCAAGGAGUUGAGCGUGCGCGCGAGUCACUGGGCUCUCGAACCCCAACGGCGCAGCUAAGGCAAAACGGGUGUGAUCCGGCGUCUCCUGGCGUCGGCGCAACACCGGCCCGCGGCCGACUCGCAGAGUGGCCGCGGCGCAAGAGCGCGCACGCUCAGACCCGAAAGGUGGUGAACUAUGCUUGAGCAGGGCGAAGCCAGAGGAAACUCUGGUGGAGGCUCGCAGCGAUCCUGACGUGCAAAUCGGUCGUCAAACUUGAGCAUAGGGGCGAAAGACUAAUCGAACCGCCUAGUAGCUGGUUCCCUCCGAAGUUUCCCUCAGGAUAGCUGGCACUCAGAAUCUAUGGUUUUAUCCGGUAAAGCGAAUGACUAGAGGCAUUGGGGGCGAAACGCCCUCAACCUAUUCUCAAACUUUAAAUGGGUAAGAAGCGCGACCCCUCCUGAGCGGGGUCGCGUGCCAGAACAGAGAGUGCCCAGUGGGCCGUUUUUGGUAAGCAGAACUGGCGCUGUGGGAUGAACCAAACGUGCGGUUAGGGUGCCUAACGCACGCUCAUGAGACACCACAAAAGGUGUUGGUUGAUAUAGACAGCAGGACGGUGGCCAUGGAAGUCGGAAUCCGCUAAGGAGUGUGUAACAACUCACCUGCCGAAUCAACUAGCCCUGAAAAUGGAUGGCGCUUGAGCGUGCGACCCAUACCGCACCGUCGGGGCAACGCGUGCGAAAUGCCAGGCCCCGAUGAGUAGGAGGGCGUGUCGGUGGCGUAGAAGCGUUGUGCGUGAGCACGCGUGGAGCCGCCUUCAGUGCAGAUCUUGGUGGUAGUAGCAAGUAUACAAAUGAGAACUUUGUAGACCGAAGUGGAGAAGGGUUCCAUGUGAACAGCAGUUGGACAUGGGUCAGUCGGCCCUAAGAGAUCGGAGAAUUCCGUUCUGAACGGGGUAGGAGCACGCUUAUUCGGCGUCUGACUCGCUCGCACUCGCCCGGUCGCUACACGAUCGCAUCGCAGACCGGUGUCGAGGAGAGCCAGCGCGCCUAAAGUUGUAAGCGUAGCGAUAACCUAAGAUCCCCGAUGCGAUCGAAAGGGAAUCGGGUUAAUAUUCCCGAACCUGGCGGCGGAGAUUGGGCCCUCGGGCCCCAGUGCGGUAACGCAACCGAACUCGGAGACGCCAGCGUCGAUCCCGGGAAGAGUUCUCUUUUCUUUGUUAGGAGCGGACUCCCUGGAAUUGGCUUGUCCAGAGAUAGGGACGUUGCAUCCGUAAAGCGUCGCGCCUCACGCGGCGUCCGGUGCAUCGGCGUUGGCCCUUGAAAAUCCGAGGAAGGCAGUGUAAUUUUCGCCCCAGGCCGUACCCGAAUCCGCAGCAGGUCUCCAAGGUGAACAGCCUCUGGUCGAUAGAACAAUGUAGGUAAGGGAAGUCGGCAAAUCCGAUCCGUAACUUCGGGAUAAGGAUUGGCUCUGAGGUGCGGGCUGUUUCGGGUCGCGGCAAGAAGCGGACCGCGCGUUGGUUGGACUGGACGCGCUCGCGCGCGUUCGGACCGCCGCCAGCGCGCGUCCGUGGGAGGCCGUGGCUUUCGCCGGCGGGGGCCUCGCGUCCCCGUCGGCUUCGUUCGGCCUAAACGCACAGCACAGAACUGUCGCGGACAUUGGGAACACGACUGUCUAAUUAAAACAAAGCAUCGCGAUGGCCGCUGGUCGGUGCUGACGCGAUGUGAUUUCUGCCCAGUGCUUU
rnacentral:rRNA from 2 species